rnacentral:lncRNA from 1 species
AUGCAUGAUACGUAACUGUCUUCAUUAAAAAGCACCCCUAAGAUCUGACAUAGGCAUUUGUGUAACCCCUAAGAUGUAAUUAUUUUAAAUUAUUUAUUGCUGCAAGACCCUCAGAAGUUUUUUGCGUAUAAUCGUACGUGUCAGAUGAAAAAAACAAAAUUUUCACCCCUAAGAUGUAUAAAUUUUACACCCCUCAGAAAGGACCAUCCAACCCCCUUUAGCAGAUAUUAACUGGAAUGGCCCA